AGCUAUUCAGCUGUUGAAAAUUUUGACAUAGAGUGAGAGUUCCCAGACUUCUCUCUGGAAUAAAUGUCUUAAGAUCAUUAAUUCAAAAGAUGAUAGGAGUUCCCACUGUGGCACAGUGGGUUAAUGAUCCAGUUUUGCCAUUGCCACAGAUGUGGCAUAGGUCAAAGAUGCGGCUUGGAUUCUUCCAUCCCUGGCCUGGGAACUUCCAUAUGCCACGGGUGCAGCCAAAAACUGGAAAUAAGAAAUAGUAUUGAUCUGAAUCUAGCAGUUCCUGGUGUGUGUGUGUGUGUGUGUGUGUGUGUAAUUCAUCUCCUUGUUUUAUAAUCAGAUAUUAUACUAGAUGUGGCAUUUGAAUUGUGUUUAAACUAGAUGAUUUUCCUGAAUCUUUAAAUAAAUGUAUUUUGAUUCAUUGUUGACUUUCACUCCCCCAAAUUAUAAUUGCUGCUGUUUUUGACUUCAUGGCCUUUCCCACAGUUUGUCAUCCUCGAGAAAUCUACUGACUUUUCCAAGGGGGUGGCAUUUCAGCAAUGUUUUGUGCUGCUCCCCAUCCCUCUGCGCCUCUCCAGUCUGUCAUGUGCUCUCAUCACCUUGCACCUACCUCUCUCACAGCAUCUGCAAGUUACAUCAUGUUCCGUCUUUACUGUGUGUGUGCUUGAGGAGCUGGUGCCUUGAGAGCUGGCACUGUUGUGCAUAUCAUUUCAUACCCAGCUAGACACUGUAUGUUAAACACAUGAUUGGAUACAAUGGUGGGGAAAACUGCAGAGAGAGCCUGGGCCUUUAAUUGGGUGAGCCUUGGUCACCAGCCGCNUUGCUUUUUUUAAGGGAACAUAUUGUGACAUUUCGCUGUUAUUUUAUUUUAUUUUUUUCCUUUUAAUAGCCGCACCUGAGGUAUUUGGAAGUUUCUGGGCUGGGAUUGAAUUGGAGAUGCAGCUGAGGCCUACACCACAGCCAUGGCAACACCAGAUCCAAGCCUCAUCUGUGACCUAAACCACAGUUUAUGGCAAUGCUGGAUCCUUAACCCACUGAGGCAGGCCAGGGAUCAAACCCGAAUCCUCAAAGAGACAACUUUGGGUCCUUAGCCUGGCUGAGUCACAACGGAAACUGUUUGCUAUUACUAACUAUACAUUUUUUCCCCCUUUUUUUGGCUGCACCAGGGGCCUGGGGAGGUUUCCAGGCCAGGGAUCGAGUUUGUGCCACAGCAGUGACUCGAGCCACUACAGUGACAAUGCUGGAUCCUUAACCUGCUGAGCCACAAGAGAAUUCCAACUGUACCUUAUUUUUAAUACCUGCAUAGUAUUUCUAAUACCUGUGUAAUACCUGUGUAUUCCACUGCAGGGAAAUAUAUGUUACUUAAUCCCCUUAUUAUUGGACAUGUAUCUCUCUUACCCGCCUCUUCCCCCUCUUUCCGCUUCCUCUCCUCCUCCUCCUCCUUGUUCUUUCUUCUUCCUAUUUUAAACACCUGCUCAGUACACAUAUUUGCACAUGCAUCUUCUUAUACUUGACUGUUAUUUCCCAAGAAUGAAUUGUCAGAAGUAGAAUCCCUGAGUCGCCAGUAGCCAGCCUCAUUUUUAAAGGAGGUUUUUGGUGUAUGUUACCUAAGUGCCCUCCAGAGGUGUUUUACCAACAUAUAUUAAUUCCAGUGAUGUAGGCGAGUUCCAUGAAAGGUGUUCUUAAAACACAUACAAGUAUGUGACUGUGUGACUUGGUUGGGUUUCUUUUUUUUUUCCCUUCUAGAGCAGGUUGCUUUUUCUUAAGUCUUGAAUAUUCUGCCUAAGAUCUCGUUCAGCCUGUUAAGCCUAUUAGUGGUUCUACCUGGGUAAAUUAAUAGUCAUCAUAUAUCCAUGCUUGUUUGAACAAAAUGCUCAAGCAUCCAAACUAUGAGUAGCCAGUCUUGCAGCAUUCAUGAGUGACUCACUUGUUUGUUUGAAAUGAGAAAGGAUGGGAGGAGGCAAGUCAAUUGACUAUGAAUCUUCUUUAAAGGAACCUUAAUAUCGUCUGUAAGACCAAGGAUUAUCCCCAGCUGCAGUCCUGAGGGGAUGGAGUGUAGCACAUCAAAUCAUUUAUGUUGUCAUAAAAUCCCAAACUAUGACGUAACUAGCAGAUAAAAGUAAUGCUUUCCCAAAGACCAGGAUGACAACAUCUCAGUAUCUUAUAUGUGUUUCUGGCAAGCAAUGUUAAAAGAAUAAUAGUGUAGCUUCAAGUUGAAUUGAAUUCUCACAUGGAUUACAGUUAAACUACUCUUGUAAUAUUAGUGAUAAUCUAGAAAACUUUUAGAACAGAAAAAAAUUCUAUAAAGGCUAUGGUAGUUACUCCAGUUUUUGUUGUUGUUCAUAAAGCUACAUUAUUUAACGUAAAGGAAUAUUAUUCUAAGAUCAGUUUUUGAAAAUGUUUAUUGUAGGAAUAUAUUUGUUUUCUCAUUGAAAUUAUUCAAGACUCUUUCUUUUACUUAGAUUAAAUUCUUUCUCCGCGAAGCUCAGGGACAUUCUAGAAACUUCACAUUUCUAGCCAGAAAAUUAAGACAUGGUUUUAUAAGAUCAGUCCUAGUGUUUCUUAUCUCUGUUUGCUGCAAUUAACAAAUAUAAUAAAAGAUUAAUCUGUGAUAUGAGAAAUGAAAUUUAAAUUUUCUGGUAUUUAACUGUUUUUACUUUUUGAUUAAACAUCAUUAAACAAUUAUUGGAAUUUUGAAAAUACAUGGAAAAUAAACUUAUCCAUGUAAGUUUAAAGUAGCUCCCAUGGUAUUUAUAAAUUAAGGGGGUAUGUGGAACUGAAUAAAUAGGCCUCUCUGUGCCUUUGGUUAGGGAUCUAUAUUUUUCUUUCCCAGAGUUCAAGGAAGAAGUACUUUUAUAAAGAAAGAUUUCUGCAGGAGCUCCUGAGGUGGCUCAGUGGUUAACGAACCUGACUAGUAUCCAUGAGGACGUGGGUUUGAUCCCUGGCCUUACUCAGUGGGUUAAGAAUCCGACAUGGGGAGUUCCCGUAGUGGUGCAGUGGUUAACGAAUCCGACUAGGAACCAUGAGGUUGCAGGUUCGAUCCCAGCCUUGCUCAGUGGGUUAAGGAUCUGGCGUUGCCGUGGGCGGUGGUGUAGGUUGCAGACGCGGCACGGAUCCUGCGUUGCUGUGGCUCUAGCGUAGGCCGGUGGCUACAGCUCCGAUUCAACCCCUAGCCUGGGAACCUCCAUAUGCCUCCACAGUGGCCCAAGAAAUGGCCAGUUCAGAUUCAACCCCUAGCCAUGUGUCGCAUGUGUGGCCCUAAAAAGACAAAAAAAAAAA
rnacentral:lncRNA from 1 species